GAUGAACGCUGGCGGCGUGCCUAAUACAUGCAAGUCGAGCGAACAGACGAGAGUGCUUGCACUCUCUGACGUUAGCGGCGGACGGGUGAGUAACACGUGGGUAACCUACCUAUAAGACUGGGAUAACUUCGGGAAACCGGAGCAAAUACCGGAUAAUAUUUAGCUUCGCAUGAAGCAAUAGUGAAAGACGGUUCUGCUGUCACUUAUAGAUGGACCCGCGGUGUAUUAGCUAGUUGGUGAGGUAACGGCUCACCAAGGCAACGAUACAUAGCCGACCUGAGAGGGUGAUCGGCCACACUGGGACUGAGACACGGCCCAGACUCCUACGGGAGGCAGCAGUAGGGAAUCUUCCGCAAUGGACGAAAGUCUGACGGAGCAAUGCCGCGUGAGUGAAGAAGGUUUUCGGAUCGUAAAACUCUGUUGUAAGGGAAGAACAAGUACGUUAGUAACUGAACGUACCUUGACGGUACCUUACCAGAAAGCCACGGCUAACUACGUG
rnacentral:rRNA from 1 species